rnacentral:rRNA from 1 species
AAAUUGAAGAGUUUGAUCAUGGCUCAGAUUGAACGCUGGCGGCAGGCCUAACACAUGCAAGUCGAGCGGAAACGAGUUAUCUGAACCUUCGGGGGACGAUAACGGCGUCGAGCGGCGGACGGGUGAGUAAUGCCUAGGAAAUUGCCCUGAUGUGGGGGAUAACCAUUGGAAACGAUGGCUAAUACCGCAUGAUGCCUACGGGCCAAAGAGGGGGACCUUCGGGCCUCUCGCGUCAGGAUAUGCCUAGGUGGGAUUAGCUAGUUGGUGAGGUAAGGGCUCACCAAGGCGACGAUCCCUAGCUGGUCUGAGAGGAUGAUCAGCCACACUGGAACUGAGACACGGUCCAGACUCCUACGGGAGGCAGCAGUGGGGAAUAUUGCACAAUGGGCGCAAGCCUGAUGCAGCCAUGCCGCGUGUAUGAAGAAGGCCUUCGGGUUGUAAAGUACUUUCAGUCGUGAGGAAGGUAGUGUAGUUAAUAGCUGCAUUAUUUGACGUUAGCGACAGAAGAAGCACCGGCUAACUCCGUGCCAGCAGCCGCGGUAAUACGGAGGGUGCGAGCGUUAAUCGGAAUUACUGGGCGUAAAGCGCAUGCAGGUGGUUUGUUAAGUCAGAUGUGAAAGCCCGGGGCUCAACCUCGGAAUAGCAUUUGAAACUGGCAGACUAGAGUACUGUAGAGGGGGGUAGAAUUUCAGGUGUAGCGGUGAAAUGCGUAGAGAUCUGAAGGAAUACCGGUGGCGAAGGCGGCCCCCUGGACAGAUACUGACACUCAGAUGCGAAAGCGUGGGGAGCAAACAGGAUUAGAUACCCUGGUAGUCCACGCCGUAAACGAUGUCUACUUGGAGGUUGUGGCCUUGAGCCGUGGCUUUCGGAGCUAACGCGUUAAGUAGACCGCCUGGGGAGUACGGUCGCAAGAUUAAAACUCAAAUGAAUUGACGGGGGCCCGCACAAGCGGUGGAGCAUGUGGUUUAAUUCGAUGCAACGCGAAGAACCUUACCUACUCUUGACAUCCAGAGAACUUUCCAGAGAUGGAUUGGUGCCUUCGGGAACUCUGAGACAGGUGCUGCAUGGCUGUCGUCAGCUCGUGUUGUGAAAUGUUGGGUUAAGUCCCGCAACGAGCGCAACCCUUAUCCUUGUUUGCCAGCGAGUAAUGUCGGGAACUCCAGGGAGACUGCCGGUGAUAAACCGGAGGAAGGUGGGGACGACGUCAAGUCAUCAUGGCCCUUACGAGUAGGGCUACACACGUGCUACAAUGGCGCAUACAGAGGGCGGCCAACUUGCGAAAGUGAGCGAAUCCCAAAAAGUGCGUCGUAGUCCGGAUUGGAGUCUGCAACUCGACUCCAUGAAGUCGGAAUCGCUAGUAAUCGUGGAUCAGAAUGCCACGGUGAAUACGUUCCCGGGCCUUGUACACACCGCCCGUCACACCAUGGGAGUGGGCUGCAAAAGAAGUAGGUAGUUUAACCUUCGGGGGGACGCUUACCACUUUGUGGUUCAUGACUGGGGUGAAGUCGUAACAAGGUAGCGCUAGGGGAACCUGGCGCUGGAUCACCUCCUUAUACGAUGAU